rnacentral:rRNA from 1 species
AACGAACGCUGGCGGCAAGCCUAACACAUGCAAGUCGAGCGAAGCCUUCGGGCUUAGCGGCGGACGGGUGAGUAACGCGUGGGAACGUGCCCUUUGGUACGGAAUAGCCCCGGGGAACUGGGAGUAAUACCGUAUGUGGUCGAGAGACGAAAGAUUUAUCGCCAAAGGAUCGGCCCGCGUUGGAUUAGGUAGUUGGUGGGGUAAUGGCCUACCAAGCCGACGAUCCAUAGCUGGUUUGAGAGGAUGAUCAGCCACACUGGGACUGAGACACGGCCCAGACUCCUACGGGAGGCAGCAGUGGGGAAUCUUAGACAAUGGGGGAAACCCUGAUCUAGCCAUGCCGCGUGAUCGAUGAAGGCCUUAGGGUUGUAAAGAUCUUUCAGUGGGGAAGAUAAUGACUGUACCCACAGAAGAAGCCCCGGCUAACUCCGUGCCAGCCGCCGCCGUAAAAC